UGGAAAGGGAAAAGAAUGCAGCAUGAAGCCCAUGCAAAGGGUACAGAGGAGGGGGGUGAAGCAGAAGGGAGGUAUUCCCUACAAUGGCCCAUGUGCCCAAGAAGGACAAGUAGAAAGCCACACCUGCAGAGGUUGAACAGAACCAGAACAGGUGGGGAAGAAAGUCUCAUUGUAGCCUUGUUGCACAAUCCAUGGAGGUUUUUCCCAUCUCCAGUGCUGUGUGUGGCACUUCCAUGAAGUUUCAGGUGCCAGGAUAUGAACCCAAGGCCUCAAGAGCAGUAAGGCUUACACUCUACCAGGAAGAACUCUUGGCUGUAUAUUAUGUUCCAGGAGCUGAGGACACCCAGUAAGGGAAAGGUUCCCACAUCCCUGCAUUCCUGAUACUUGGCUCUCAUGAGGCAACAACAGCAGUAACCCAACAGCAUGGCCACACCUGUGGGGGUAACACAA